rfam:Schizosaccharomyces cryophilus OY26 unplaced genomic scaffold supercont4.1, whole genome shotgun sequence.
GUCUACGGCCAUACCUAGGCGAAAACAUCAGUCCCCGUCCGAUCACUGCAGUUAAGUGAAAACAUCUGAGGGUCACGUUGGUACUACGGUUGGAGACAACAUGGGAAGAUGGGGUGCUGUGGGCU